AAUUUCUAAAAUGUUGAAAAAUAUGUCAUCUGGAUUCUGUGCAAAAAAUAUAAUCCCUUUUUCAUUUCUGCAUUUGCAAUUCCUGCAUUUUCUUUAUUCCUACAUUUUUUAAUUGGAAGGAAUUUCAUUCGCAGAGCCCUCUAAUUUAUUCUUACAAAUCAUGUAGUAAUGUACCAUUUUAGAUAGAUAUAAAUAACACAUUUUGUAAUUUUUCUAAACUGUGGUUAUACAGCAUGAUAUAAUAGCUACACAAGGUAUGGCGAAACAGUAUACAGCAAUAUCUGUCGCACUGUCUGAGAUGGGUGGUAGUCAUACAUAGCUUAAUGCUUAAAUUUGUUAUGUGUUAUUUAUUUAUUCAUGUUUUUUUUUUAAUUAUGUUAUAGCAGUUUAUUUCUUUCAUUCUUAGGUCUGGAAGUGAAAAAUUUGACUUUUCUACGCCAGAAGUUACAGCUAAUGUUCCUAAGACAAACCAGGCUUUCUUGAGUUCUGAUCUGGACAUUUCAGUUAUUGACUCUGACGUAGAAGGUAGAAAUACAAGCUCUCUUUUGAGGUGUAAAUUUUGUGCAUGAUUUGGCUUUCAUUGAGACGUCUCUGGGUAAGGAGUUACUAAGGAAGAGAAACUUACAUGCAGGUUGAAGCAUGCAGUGUCAAAUGUAUAAGGAAUAUAAAAGAUGCUGUAUAUUAGUAUAAGUUUGAAUAACCAUAAUAAAAAAAUUUCUUGAAAA